UUUGCUUUAUUAUAAUUUAAGUAUAUCAAUUUUUCGUAUUGGUGGUAGUUAUAAACUAAGCAAAU
rnacentral:tRNA from 1 species